rnacentral:tRNA from 1 species
GUGAAUGUAGCUCAACUUGGUCAGAGCGCUGGACUGUGGAUCCAGAUGUUGGGGGUUCGAGUCCCCUCAUUCACCCCA